CCGACAGGGAUUGCCUCAGUAACGGCGGGUGAAGCGGCAAGAGCUCAGAUUUGAAAUCCGGCAUGCUAUGUGUGCCCGAGUUGUAAUCUGGAGAGAGGUCUUCGGCUUAGGCAUCGGUCAAGAUUCCUUGGAAUAGGAUGACAUAGAGGGUGAGAAUCCCGUACCUGGCUGACCGCCAACGCCAUGUGAGGCUUCUUCGACGAGUCGAGUCGUUUGGGAAUGCAGCUCUAAAAGGGUGGUAAAUUCCAUCUAAAGCUAAAUAUCUGCGAGAGACCGAUAGCGCACAAGUAGAGUGAUCGAAAGAUGAAAAGCACUUUGAAAAGAGAGUUAAAAAGUACGUGAAAUUGUUGAAAGGGAAGCGCUU
rnacentral:rRNA from 1 species